UCACAGUCAAUUGUAACCAAAUCAGUUAUCACACUACUGAUCCAAAAAUGCAAAGAGGAUAGGGUCACUGUGAAUAAAUUUGUUGAAAAUCUAGUGACAGUGAACUGUUAUGGACAGAUCUGUGGCAGAAUUAAAAAUUUCAUUCUUUUGGUUUACAAGCAUUAUAGAUGUAUUAUGAUGUUUCACAUCUUAAAACACAUCUGUAAAAUAUAAAUUAGGUUCCUCAUAACUAGUAACAGAUUAUUAGAAAUAUUGCAAAUUUAUCUAGGAAGUUACUUGUCAUUCAUCCAACCACUCUAACAUUAUAUUGCUUUCUGCAUUAGUUUUAAGAUAUUAUGCCUCUUUUCUCUGAACUUUAAAGCAGGAAGCAACAUCUACAUGAUGAUGUUUAUUUUAUGUGUAAGCUAGUGUUUGCAUAACUCUUACUUUAAAGUUACAGCAAGUUUUGCUCCAAUUUGAACUUGUUUGAGUUUCUACGCAUCUGAUAUAUCUAAUCAUUUUUAUCAAUAUAGUAGGAUUCAGAUAGUAAAAACUCAAAAGAGAAGAAGAAGUGAUAGGAAAACAAAGGCAUGGAGAGACCAAUUCUUUCAUCCCCAUCUUCAGGGAGCCAAGUAGCAUUGAGAAAAUAGUUGGGGACUUUGAAAGAGAGCAACAACAGAACCAAUAUGCCUCAGCUACUAAGAUUCAGAGCCAACUCUAAAGAACCAAUAUGCCUCAGCUACUAAAAUCCAGGCUGUUUAUAGAGGUUAUAUGGAUGCCCAAAGUGCCAUAAAUGAUAUGACAGGAUAUUAAUAUUUGGGGGAAUGUUUAUCCAAUGCUUGUGGCUCUUCCUUACCUUCACCAAAGCAAUGGUUGUGUUAUUAUCAAUGCAUCAAUUGCAAGCCUUUACCAAGAUGAGUUUAUAUGGUGUAAGUAUAAUAGUUUAUGCAUUAAGUUUGUCAUUCUCUGUUUUCUUUAUGAUUCUCUGUUCUAUUGCCUUUGGUACAACUUGGCUUAGGAAUUUCCAAAGGCUAAUGGGAUUGGAUUCAGAUUGAAAUCGUCUACAAGUGAUAUUUUUUAGUUAGCUACCAACUUAUUUUUUCAAAUUGGGUUGUUAUUCAUGCUAUUGGGAAAAAAGCAAAUUACCCUA